GAACGGGGGUAGCAAUACCCUAGUGGCGGACGGGUGAGUAACGCGUAGGAAUCUGCCUCGUAGUGGGGGACAACCUGGGGAAACCCAGGCUAAUACCGCAUACGCUCGUGAGAGGAAAGCGGGGGACCUUCGGGCCUCGCGCUAUGAGAUGAGCCUACGUCCGAUUAGCUAGUUGGUGGGGUAAAGGCCUACCAAGGCGACGAUCGGUAGCUGGUCUGAGAGGAUGAUCAGCCACACUGGGACUGAGACACGGCCCAGACUCCUACGGGAGGCAGCAGUGGGGAAUCUUGCGCAAUGGGCGAAAGCCUGAUGCAGCGAUGCCGCGUGAGUGAUGAAGGCCUUCGGGUCGUAAAGCUCUGUCGGCCGGGAAAAAAAGUCUUCAACUAACAUUUGAAGAAAAUGAUGGUACCGGCAAAGGAAGGGGCGGCUAACUCUGUGCCAGCAGCCGCGGUAAUACAGAGGCCCCGAGCGUUGUUCGGAUUUACUGGGCGUAAAGCGGGUGUAGGUGGUGACGUAAGUCAGAUGUGAAAGCCCUGGGCUCAACCCGGGAAUUGCAUUUGAUACUGCGUUGCUCGAGUACGGGAGAGGAAAGUGGAAUUUCUAGUGUAGGGGUGAAAUCCGUAGAUAUUAGAAGGAAUACCGAUGGCGAAGGCAACCUUCUGGCCCGUAACUGACACUAAGAUCCGAAAGCGUGGGUAGCAAACAGGAUUAGAUACCCUGGUAGUCCACGCCGUAAACCAUGGAUGCUUGUCGUUGGAGGUAAAACCCUUUCAGUGACGAAGCUAACGCGUUAAGCAUCCCGCCUGGGGAGUACGGUCGCAAGAUUAAAACUCAAAGAAAUUGACGGGGACCCGCACAAGCAGUGGAGCAUGUGGUUCAAUUCGACGCAACGCGAAGAACCUUAUCCUAGUCUUGACAUCCUCGGACCGCCGGCGAAAGUCGGUUUUCUCCGCAAGGAGACCGAGAGACAGGUGCUGCAUGGCUGUCGUCAGCUCGUGUCGUGAGAUGUUGGGUUAAGUCCCGUAACGAGCGCAACCCACGUCUCUUGUUGCCAUCAUUAAGUUGGGCACUCUAGAGAGACUGCCAGCGUUAAGCUGGAGGAAGGUGUGGAUGACGUCAAGUCCUCAUGGCCCUUAUGACUAGGGCUACACACGUGCUACAAUGCAGAGUACAAAGGGCUGCAAAACCGCGAGGUGAAGCCAAUCCCAAAAAACUCUGCUCAGUUCG
rnacentral:rRNA from 1 species